UGCCUUUCCCUCUGAGUUCCUCCAAAGAGCUGUUGUAUUUCUUGUGUCACCUUAGCAAACCACCUGGCAAGGAGCAGUUGCUUUUAUAAAAUUGACUGAACGAAUACAUGAAUGAAUACCAGGACACGGAAUCACUCUACAACCUUUCCAGAGACUCUAGAUCGAGCGGUCUUGCAGCAUCCACCGCCUCCUCAUAUCUCACUUUCAUUCAGAAUUACUAAUACAGUAUCAAAUCAAGCUCCUGGCAAGAAAAUAAUAGUAAAGCAUCUCAACCAUUUGGCGUUUCUGACAAUAUAUUUAUUUUGUUGGCUCGCAUACAACAGAGAGUGAAAAUGGAACCAAAGCCCCUCGUCUCCCAUCAAGCAAACAUAGACACAUCCAAGGACUGGGCUGCAAGCGGAGCCCACCGCCCAGAGCCCUGGGCAGGCGGCUGCAGUCACUGGCGCUGCAGCAGUAACAGGCGCCACAGACCCAGGACUGCAGAAGCAGAAAUCAUGCUCAUAAACAUGCCCGACUCAAAGAACGUAUCCCCCAUAUCUCUAAUAAUUUCAGGAUUACACGCUAAAUCACACGUGCAUCUUAAAAUCCUGUACAACAUAAAACUUUUCAACUGUUA